GCUGCCCUCGAUCGUCUUGCUACGAGGACGAGAACCAUGCCCCAGCCGCCAUAGUGGAGCCCUACGCCGCCGCCGAGAUCGGAGAGGAGCCGCCGCCGCCGAGGUUCGAGAGGAGCUGGCCACCACGACCUCCCUCCCCAGGCGGCCGCCACCACCCCCUCCCCAAGCAGCCAUGUACAGCAGGGCGGCGCCCACGCGCCUGGCCUAUGUAGGUCUCGGCCUCCCUCCUCCCUUCGUCCAAGGCCAGGAGCUCCCCCUCCCCGACCCGAUCUGGUGGAGAGAGGGCCAGGCCUUGCCACUCCGGUGGUCGCUGUGGCCAGAUCUGUCCGGGGUAGUCGCCGUAGAGCCUCUAUGGCGGCGGAGUAGCAGCAGCCCGACAGAAGGUGGGUGCCAGAUCGUCGUCCAGCAGCUCGCCGUCGGAGCUUCUCACUACAGGCGAUGGAGGCCGGUGCUACUCGGUCUAUCUAUGAUGUUUGUUUCCUGUGUUUACAUGGCAGAGUGAUUGCUGCACUGGCUUUUGGCUAUGGAUGCAAGUUGGGAACUCAUUCCGUGAUUUGAGGGUGCAGGUAGGGAUGAUGCUGCGGAUGGGAUGGGAAGAUGUGUGUGUGUGCUAGCUGCUUCACAUACGACUCAGAGAAAGAAUUGCUUUGCAGUUUCAGGUUGCCAACAUCACGAAUUUCAUACUUAUGGAGUGGAGCCACCAAACAAUUUAUGAGGAAAUAUGUUGAAGCACCGAAUGUAUUCCAUUUGCAAUUUCCGCCAUGGACGCCGCCUCGCUCAUGGGCUCCUCCUCCGCCGACGCGCGCACCGACGGGGAGCACCGGAUGGGCAUCACCAUCAUGGGCGUCUGCUACGACGGCGGCGUCCUCGCCGCUGACACUCAGGACCAGCACCGAGAGGUUCCACGACUUCAGUUUGGCUAUCAUCAAAAUUGGAGGAGAGCCCGAUGCAUUGGAGAGCAUCAUCCGCGAGUUCCAUAGGAUCGAAUUGAGGAGGCAUUAUAACCUGGCAUCAUUUGGAUGACUUUGUCAGUAGGAAGAAUGGCUAACAUGCCUGUUAAAGCUAGAUAAACGCGUAUUGAAGGAACUGGGGUAUGUCCGCCAUGUUGAACACCCUCACAAUGACGGGUACCAUACAAUGUUAGCGAGGACAGUGAUUGGGGGAUUGAUAUUUUCGAAGUAAUGAGGUGCUUGGAGGAGGCACGCGUCGCAGGUUUGACUGUUUGGGCUAUGGUGAUCAUAAACCCCGGAUAACCGACGGAACAGGUACUUUCUGUGACCAACCAGGAGGAGAUAGUAGAAUUUUGUCGAAAAGAAGGUUUGGUUAUGCUUGCCGAUGAAGUUUGCACUUGGUGAACUGCGGUAGUUUUGUGACGCGGACGCGUGUGUAGACAUCCUACAUUUGUAUAAAUGCGUUUACAGGUAUACCAAGACAAGCUCUAUAUGGAGGACAUGAAGUUCAAUUCUUUCAGGAAAGUUGCCAGAUCACUUGGGUAUGAUGAGAAUGGUAUAUCCAUAGUGUCAUUUCAUUGGGGGGGUACUCUGGAGUAUGUGGCAGAAGGGGAAGCUACAUGUUGAUAUGUAAAAUUCCCUUCACGACUCGUUUAGGAAUAACAGAGUUUUGGAGAUGAUGUGAUGGGUGAGAUUCGCAAGGUGGCUUCUGUGACUCUUUGCCCCAACAUAAAUGGUGACUUGCGAUGGAUCCACCGAAGUAUAGAUCUGCGAUUGACAUUUUUAUUGGACCACUGGGUGAGCAUUUGCAACAAAGAGCCAGGGAGUAAGCUGGGAGCGGACAAACAUAAUGCCCUGAACAUGAGUUUGUCCUUGCAUAAUUAUCCAUGUCUGAUGGUAGGAAGAGACAGGAUCAGAUCGCUCACCAGUGAUGAAGACGUGGUAGUACCGUAGUAGGGUGUGGUAGAUGAACAUGUCUUUAUUUUCUGAAUCGCUUAAUAUUAUAUGAUAUUGUACUGACAAGUAGGAGGUGAUUGCUGAUGGGUGAUUCUAGAUUCUUGAGUGAAUACUAGCUACCAUGUUAUCCUAAGUGCUGUCAACUAUUCAAUUACAAAUAAAAACUCAAGAACGUA